GGUGGGCCCCUUCGCAUGGGCCGGCGGUGAAACUGGUCAGGUCGGGAACGAAGCAGCCAUAAUCGCUCAGGUUCAGUGCCGAAGUAAGGCUCACCCCC
rnacentral:SRP_RNA from 1 species